GGCCGCCGGUUUACCUUUGUGAGGCACUGGCGCCUGUGGAAACACUACAGCGAUUAUUUCCCUCUCAAGCUUCUGAAGACUCAUGACAUCUGCCCCAGCCGCAAUUACAUCCUCGUCUGCCACCCUCAUGGGAUCUUGGCCAAUGGAUGGUUUGGCCACUUUUCCACAGAGGCCUCAGGCUUCUCCAAGAUAUUUCCUGGCAUCACCCCUUACAUACUCACACUGGGAGCCUUUUUCUGGGUACCUUUCCUCAGAGAAUAUGUAAUGUCUACAGGGGCCUGCUCUGUGAGUCAAUCCUCCAUUGACUUUCUGCUGACUCAUAAAGGCACAGGCAACAUGGUCAUUGUGGUGGCUGGUGGACUGGCUGAGUGCAGAUACAGCCUGCCAGGCUCUUCUACCCUGGUGUUGAAGAACCGGUCUGGCUUUGUGCGCAUGGCCCUUCAGCAUGGGUAAGGACAGCUCCAGUCCAGGCUGGCGGAAGGGAUCCAAAAGUGUUGCAGGGAAAGAAGAGGGGGUUUUGACGAAAGGACAUCCACAGAGAGAGGAGGAAGUAUACAAUACAUUCUUAUGAACUAUGGUCAUCAGAAAGAUAAUUUUUAUUUG
rnacentral:sRNA from 1 species